ACCUAGGUGGCUCAGUUGGUUGAGCAUCUGACUUCGGCUCAGGUCAUGAUCUCACGGUCUGUGGGUUCAAGACCCACAUCGGGCU
rnacentral:tRNA from 1 species